UUAGAUAGUAGUUGUAUGUAUUUGAGCUUAGCACCUACUCAGUCAUUCUAGCCAAGGCUCAGCUAGUGGAGAAGAACCUUCGCAUAUUUCCUCUAGUAGUGGGGAAUCCCAGACCCCUAGUUUCACACCGCAGACUAGCACCCACUGCACUGGUUCAGCAAAACAAGAGGCCUAGGCCAGUGACUCAAGCUCCUCCCCAAGCUCCGGUAACAGACUGCGAUAGGACUUGCCAGCAUU
rnacentral:lncRNA from 1 species